AAGGAUCAUUACUAUAAUCAGAACGGGAAAGCGUGCGCACGGGGCUGUGCAGCCCCGUUCCGGCGCACGUUUCCCGGAUCUCAAACCCUGUGUGAGCGUAAAUCUGUUGCCUUGGCGGGUUGGUCUCGCGCCUCCUGCCAGAGGAACCGCAAACUCUAGUUUAAAUAUGUGCCGUCUGAGCUUACAAUAAUAUAUUUAAAACUUUCAACAACGGAUCUCUCGGUUCUC
rnacentral:misc_RNA from 1 species